UUUGCGCGUGAUCACGCACUAUUGCUGAGGAAUAAAUCAAGUAUUGAUGUGUUUGAUAUUUACACCUCCUUCGUGUCUUUAUAUUGACGACGGAUAUCCUGAUAUUCUUAAACCAAUCUUGAAUUCAACUUAUUAUAUUCCAGUAAGUCUUAAAUAAAUUAUAAGGAAUAUGUCAGAGAUCACAACUAGCAGCAGCUACAGCUCUAGCUGAGUAUUUGAUUUUCGGAAUAUUAUAUUGUAUAGAUGGCGCUGUUCACAGUUUACUACUUUAAAUGUGGUUAUAAAUGACAUUAGGAG